rnacentral:rRNA from 1 species
UCGAGGAUCUUCGGCAAUGGACGAAAGUCUGACCGAGCGACGCCGCGUGUGCGAUGAAGGCCUUCGGGUUGUAAAGCACUGUCGAGAGGGAGAAAAGGCAACUUGAUCUAUCUCUGGAGGAAGGACGGGCUAAGUUCGUGCCAGCAGCCGCGGUAAGACGAACCGUCCAAACGUUAUUCGGAAUCACUGGGCUUAAAGGGCGCGUAGGCGGGCUAUCAAGUCCGGGGUGAAAUCCUCCAGCUUAACUGGAGAACGGCCUCGGAUACUGAUGGUCUCGAGGAAGAUAGGGGCAUGCGGAACUGGUGGUGGAGCGGUGAAAUGCGCUGAUAUCACUAGGAACUCCGGUGGCGAAGGCGGCAUGCUGGAUCUUUUCUGACGCUGAGGCGCGAAAGCCAGGGGA